rnacentral:rRNA from 1 species
UUAAGCGACUAAGCGUACACGGUGGAUGCCCUGGCAGUCAGAGGCGAUGAAGGACGUGCUAAUCUGCGAAAAGCGUCGGUAAGGUGAUAUGAACCGUUAUAACCGGCGAUGUCCGAAUGGGGAAACCCAGUGCAAUUCGUUGCACUAUCGUUAACUGAAUACAUAGGUUAACGAGGCGAACCGGGGGAACUGAAACAUCUAAGUACCCCGAGGAAAAGAAAUCAACCGAGAUUCCCCCAGUAGCGGCGAGCGAACGGGGAGCAGCCCAGAGUCUGAAUCAGCUUGUGUGUUAGUGGAACGGUCUGGAAAGUCCGACGGUACAGGGUGAUAGUCCCGUACACCAAAAUGCACAGGCUGUGAACUCGAAGAGUAGGGCGGGACACGUGGUAUCCUGUCUGAAUAUGGGGGGACCAUCCUCCAAGGCUAAAUACUCCUGACUGACCGAUAGUGAACCAGUACCGUGAGGGAAAGGCGAAAAGAACCCCGGCGAGGGGAGUGAAAAAGAACCUGAAACCGUGUACGUACAAGCAGUGGGAGCACCUUCGGGUGUGACUGCGUACCUUUUGUAUAAUGGGUCAGCGACUUAUAUUCUGUAGCAAGGUUAACCGUAUAGGGGAGCCGCAGGGAAACCGAGUCUUAACUGGGCGUUAAGUUGCAGGGUAUAGACCCGAAACCCGGUGAUCUAGCCAUGGGCAGGUUGAAGGUUGGGUAACACUAACUGGAGGACCGAACCGACUAAUGUUGAAAAAUUAGCGGAUGACUUGUGGCUGGGGGUGAAAGGCCAAUCAAACCGGGAGAUAGCUGGUUCUCCCCGAAAGCUAUUUAGGUAGCGCCUCGUGAACUCAUCUUCGGGGGUAGAGCACUGUUUCGGCUAGGGGGUCAUCCCGACUUACCAACCCGAUGCAAACUACGAAUACCGAAGAAUGUUAUCACGGGAGACACACGGCGGGUGCUAACGUCCGUCGUGAAGAGGGAAACAACCCAGACCGCCAGCUAAGGUCCCAAAGUCAUGGUUAAGUGGGAAACGAUGUGGGAAGGCACAGACAGCCAGGAUGUUGGCUUAGAAGCAGCCAUCAUUUAAAGAAAGCGUAAUAGCUCACUGGUCGAGUCGGCCUGCGCGGAAGAUGUAACGGGGCUAAACCAUGCACCGAAGCUGCGGCAGCGACACUAUGUGUUGUUGGGUAGGGGAGCGUUCUGUAAGCCUGCGAAGGUGACCUGUGAGGGUUGCUGGAGGUAUCAGAAGUGCGAAUGCUGACAUAAGUAACGAUAAAGCGGGUGAAAAGCCCGCUCGCCGGAAGACCAAGGGUUCCUGUCCAACGUUAAUCGGGGCAGGGUGAGUCGACCCCUAAGGCGAGGCCGAAAGGCGUAGUCGAUGGGAAACAGGUUAAUAUUCCUGUACUUGGUGUUACUGCGAAGGGGGGACGGAGAAGGCUAUGUUAGCCGGGCGACGGUUGUCCCGGUUUAAGCAUGUAGGCUGGUUGUCCAGGCAAAUCCGGAUAAUCAAGGCUGAGGUGUGAUGACGAGGCACUACGGUGCUGAAGUAACAAAUGCCCUGCUUCCAGGAAAAGCCUCUAAGCAUCAGGUAACAUCAAAUCGUACCCCAAACCGACACAGGUGGUCAGGUAGAGAAUACCAAGGCGCUUGAGAGAACUCGGGUGAAGGAACUAGGCAAAAUGGUGCCGUAACUUCGGGAGAAGGCACGCUGGUGUGUAGGUGAAGUCCCUGCGGAUGGAGCUGAGACCAGUCGAAGAUACCAGCUGGCUGCAACUGUUUAUUAAAAACACAGCACUGUGCAAACACGAAAGUGGACGUAUACGGUGUGACGCCUGCCCGGUGCCGGAAGGUUAAUUGAUGGGGUUAUCCGUAAGGAGAAGCUCUUGAUCGAAGCCCCGGUAAACGGCGGCCGUAACUAUAACGGUCCUAAGGUAGCGAAAUUCCUUGUCGGGUAAGUUCCGACCUGCACGAAUGGCGUAAUGAUGGCCAGGCUGUCUCCACCCGAGACUCAGUGAAAUUGAACUCGCUGUGAAGAUGCAGUGUACCCGCGGCAAGACGGAAAGACCCCGUGAACCUUUACUAUAGCUUGACACUGAACAUUGAGCCUUGAUGUGUAGGAUAGGUGGGAGGCUUUGAAGCGUGGACGCCAGUCUGCGUGGAGCCAACCUUGAAAUACCACCCUUUAAUGUUUGAUGUUCUAACGUUGGCCCCUUACCGGGGUUGCGGACAGUGUCUGGUGGGUAGUUUGACUGGGGCGGUCUCCUCCCAAAGCGUAACGGAGGAGCACGAAGGUUAGCUAAUCCUGGUCGGACAUCAGGAGGUUAGUGCAAUGGCAUAAGCUAGCUUGACUGCGAGCGUGACGGCGCGAGCAGGUGCGAAAGCAGGUCAUAGUGAUCCGGUGGUUCUGAAUGGAAGGGCCAUCGCUCAACGGAUAAAAGGUACUCCGGGGAUAACAGGCUGAUACCGCCCAAGAGUUCAUAUCGACGGCGGUGUUUGGCACCUCGAUGUCGGCUCAUCACAUCCUGGGGCUGAAGUAGGUCCCAAGGGUAUGGCUGUUCGCCAUUUAAAGUGGUACGCGAGCUGGGUUUAGAACGUCGUGAGACAGUUCGGUCCCUAUCUGCCGUGGGCGCUGGAGAAUUGAGGGGGGCUGCUCCUAGUACGAGAGGACCGGAGUGGACGCAUCACUGGUGUUCGGGUUGUCAUGCCAAUGGCACUGCCCGGUAGCUAAAUGCGGAAGAGAUAAGUGCUGAAAGCAUCUAAGCACGAAACUUGCCCCGAGAUGAGUUCUCCCUGAGACUUUAAGUCUCCUGAAGGAACGUU